rnacentral:rRNA from 1 species
AUGAAUACCUAUAUAGACAAAUGGAAUAUACUCUUAAUUAGAAGCGUAUGGUAUGGAGGCUGGCUCCGUACGGAUCCCGGCAAUCAACGCUAUGGGAUCACCAACUUCACCGACGCCACCAUUGAUGGCAACAUCAAGGUGCUGCUCCAAGAGACAGCCAAACAGGCAGCCUACAACUCUACAAUGAUGUACGCCACCGGCCGCAUGGAUUUAUCCGAGGAACUCCCGCUGCUCUACUCUAUGGCGCAGUGCAACCUGGACCUACAAUCAAUUGACUGCUGGAAUUGCCUCGAAAAUAUCAGGAGCGCAGCAAGGGGUUCCUUCCACAAGCAACAUGGUGAAUGGAUUGCUGGUAUGUGGUGCAAUUUUAGGUACAGCACGUAUCAGUUCUACAAUGGCCAGCCCACGAAGCAGACCGUCUGGUCGGAUGUAUGGAUCAUUACCACUGCUAUGCUUCUACUAGCAUCAUUUUUGUGCUUCAUCGUAUGGUUUAAACUAGUCAAAAGGAACAUUAAAGUGAGCUCUCAGGAAGAUGAAGAGCUAGUCUGGGGGAUAGGGAGGAGUUCAGAGCUCAAGCUUUUUAACUUUUCACAACUAUCAGAUGCUACGAGUAACUUCUCAGAUGAAAAUAAAUUGGGGCAAGGUGGCUUUGGACCAGUAUACAAGGGCCAGCUUCCUGAAGGUUUGGAAAUAGCAAUUAAGGGACUAGCUUCGCAGUCUGGGCAGGGUUUCACAGAGUUUAAAAAUGAAGUCCAACUCAUAGCCAAGCUCCAGCACACAAAUUUGGUUAGGCUAUUGGGAUGUUGCUCUCAAGGAGAAGAGAAAGUAUUAAUCUAUGAAUAUUUGGCAAAUAAAAGCUUGGAUUUCUUUAUCUUUGGCAUUACUCCUUAUGAAACUAAAAAGGCUUUAUUGGAAUGGAACAAAAGAAAAGCGAUUAUCGAAGGGAUAGCACAAGGACUUCUAUAUUUGCAUAAGCACUCUCGGUUACGUGUCAUACAUAGGGAUCUUAAAGCUAGCAACAUACUUUUGGACAGUGAAAUGAAUCCUAAAAUAUCAGAUUUUGGGCUUGCAAAAAUAUUCAGCUCAAAUGAUACUGAAGGGAACACAAAAAGGAUUGCUGGGACAUAUGGGUAUAUGGCUCCCGAGUAUGCUUCAGAGGGUCUCUUCUCAAUCAAAUCUGAUGUAUUCAGCUUUGGUGUACUGAUUCUUGAGAUCAUCCAUGGAAAAAGGAACUCAUGUUUCCAUCAAUUUGGGGACUUCUUCAACCGUCUUGGAUAUGCAUGGAAGUUGUGGAAAGAGGAAAGAUGCCUCGAGUUCGUCGAUGAAUCAAUAGUUUCAGAGUCUGACACAUUAGAUACGAUGAGGUGUAUCAACAUCGCACUGCUCUGUGUGCAAGAGAAUGCAGUUGACAGGCCCAGCACAACAAGUGUGGUUGCGAUGCUAAGCAGUGAAAGUAUGACCCUGCCCGAACCUAAGCACCCAGCGUAUUUCCACAUAAGGGUAACAGAGGAAGAGCCCCCUAGUGCGAAUGAUGUGACAGUGUCUGCUCUACAAGGCAGGUAG